rnacentral:rRNA from 1 species
UACGGAGGUGGCAAGCGUUGCUCGGAAUCACUGGGCGUAAAGGGCGCGUAGGCGGGGAGGUAAGUCGGGUGUGAAAUCCCUCGGCCCAACCGAGGAACUGCGCCCGAGACUGCUUCUCUUGAGUCCCGGAGAGGAAGGUGGAAUUCCCGGUGUAGCGGUGAAAUGUGUAGAGAUCGGGAGGAACACCGGUGGCGAAGGCGGGUCUCUGGGCAUCUCCUGACGCUGAGGCGCGAAAGCGUGGGGAGCGAACAGG